rnacentral:rRNA from 1 species
UGGGGAAUCUUCCGCAAUGGACGAAAGUCUGACGGAGCAACGCCGCGUGUAUGAUGAAGGUCUUCGGAUUGUAAAGUACUGUCAUUGGGGAAGAACGGUUUUCUUGAGAAUAUUGAGAAGACAUGACGGUACCCAAGGAGGAAGCCCCGGCUAACUACGUGCCAGCAGCCGCGGUAAUACGUAGGGGGCAAGCGUUGUCCGGAAUUAUUGGGCGUAAAGGGCGCGUAGGCGGGCCUUUAAGUCCGGUGUGAAAGAUCAGGGCUCAACCCUGAGAGUGCAUCGGAAACUGGAGGCCUUGAGGACAGGAGAGGAAAGUGGAAUUCCACGUGUAGCGGUGAAAUGCGUAGAUAUGUGGAGGAACACCAGUGGCGAAGGCGACUUUCUGGACUGUAACUGACGCUGAGGCGCGAAAGCGUGGGGAGCAAACAGGAUUAGAUACCCUGGUAGUCCACGCCGUAAACGAUGAGUGCUAGGUGUAGAGGGUAUCGACCCCUUCUGUGCCGCAGUUAACACAAUAAGCACUCCCGCCUGGGGAGUACGGCCGCAAGGUUGAAACUCAAAUGAAUUGACGGGGUCAUAGCUGUUUCC